rnacentral:rRNA from 1 species
GACGAACCGUGCGAACGUUGUUCGGAAUCACUGGGCUUAAAGGGCGCGUAGGCGGCAGGUCAAGUCCGGGGUGAAAGCCCCCAGCUCAACUGGGGAAGUGCCUUGGAUACUGGCGUGCUCGAGGGAGGUAGGGGCCCGCGGAACUUCUGGUGAAGCGGUGAAAUGCGUUGAUAUCAGAAGGAACGGCGGUGGCGAAAGCGGCGGGCUGGACCUUUUCUGACGCUGAGGCGCGAAAGCCAGGGGAGCAAACGGG